ACGGGAGGCAGCAGUGGGGAAUAUUGCACAAUGGGGGAAACCCUGAUGCAGCGACGCCGCGUGAGUGAAGAAGUAUUUCGGUAUGUAAAGCUCUAUCAGCAGGGAAGAAAAUGACGGUACCUGACUAAGAAGCCCCGGCUAACUACGUGCCAGCAGCCGCGGUAAUACGUAGGUGGCAAGCGUUAUCCGGAAUUACUGGGUGUAAAGGGAGCGCAGGCGGGAUAGCAAGUCAGCGGUGAAAUGUAUGGGCUUAACCCAUGAACUGCCGUUGAAACUGUUAUUCUUGAGUGGAGUAGAGGCAGGCGGAAUUCCGAGUGUAGCGGUGAAAUGCGUAGAUAUUCGGAGGAACACCAGUGGCGAAGGCGGCCUGCUGGGCUCUAACUGACGCUGAGGCUCGAAAGUGUGGGGAGCAAACAGGAUUAGAUACCCUGGUA
rnacentral:rRNA from 1 species